UUCAGAUGUCGGACAAGCUUGGAUUAAAAAAAUUAAGGUUCGGUACUCGGCAAUUCAAGACGUGCGAGGCCCAUCAUCAUGGGCUCGUAGAUGUAUUAAAAGGCGCGGGAAAGUGGUUGCCUCUCCAUCGAGCGACACGUGUCUCUAUACGGGAAGCCAGAAACUUAAGUCCGAGUGAAAUGAACCCUCAAAUCGGAGGAGGCUCUCCUUCCGGUUCCUCCCUUCGAUCGUCGAUCCCCACAUGGCGAAGACGAAGCGAUCGACGAACUUCUUCUCCUCCUCCUCUCGUUGGUGUGAUCCACCACGUCUUCUCGUUCAUCGACGUUGCAUGCAUCGUCCGCACGUGCGUUUUUGUCGAAGCGGUGGCGAUCCGUCUGGAACGCCUCCCCGUUCCGUGGACGGCGUCUUGAUCCUCUAGGCGUCGCCCAAGGUGAGGAAGUUCCACAUCGACGCCGAUUUUCUCGACCGUUGCGCGCCUGAGCUCAGUCCGUGGCUUCGCUUUGCUGUCGACCGCCGUGUCGAGGACCUCUCAGUCGAUGCGACUAAGAGGUUGUGCGAGAUGGCCGGCCAUUUCGCAGUACCGCGGCUCCUUUUAUGGAUGCUCUUCGUUGGUGAACCUGCACUCAGGGCUCUGUUGCUUCUCGUUGAGUAGAAGUAUCGCUUGGAUUAAUCUUAGGUCCCUAUCCAUCUGUGACUCGGAGGUGAUGCAUGAGAUGUCGAAUGGCAGCCCUGUUCUGGAGUACCUUAGUUUGGAAGGAUGCUACGGUUUGAAGCGAACCAUCAAGCUUUGUUCGAGAACUUUGAGGGAAAUUGCGGUCAAUGGCUGCUUUCGGUAUGCACUUGAUGAGGGUUUCCCCUUGGAGAUUUCAAGUCCUCUGUUGCUGUUUGAGAGGAUUUUCUGGUAUGAUGAGGCAGCUGGUAACGGAAGUCUCAAUCCUUGAUUGAAGCAGAGUCGAACUUUUUUCUGAGAGGCGAGGAUUUUGGAAGGCCAACUGAUUGUUUUGUUCAAAAUCGGUUCGAGUCUUACAGAUGGUGUUGCAACUUGGUUGAGGGACUGCUUCAGAAGCUGCAGAACGCGACUAAGCUUUUGAUUGGUAGUUGGUGCCUUCAGGAUAUAUCUCAAGCUAUGCUGCAUACAUGUAUACAUGGAGGGAGGAGUUGGAGAAAGCAAAAAGACUAGGAGGGUAGGCGGAGCUGCAUCCAAGUAUGUUAAGUUCUUGUAAAUGUAUAACAUCAUUAUGCUGGCAUCCUGAUGGCAAAGUAGUUGUCUUGGGACUAGAAGAUGAAUGGAAAACUGUUAAGAAGCUUAAGUCCCAUGCGGCAGCUGGGGUGUGUCUCAAUUGGGAGGAGGAUGCCCAAGUGAAUAGACUCCAAGAGCUCCUUGCAUGCCUGGACUAGUACCUGGAGAAACUGGUUUAACUGACGAUGGUCAAGAUUCAUUCGUAGUGCUCUCAAAUUCUUCAAAGCAAUGUUUCAAUAUCCUUUGCAGUGGAGAUGAAGAUGGGGUUUUGUGCUUUAGUAUAUUUGGUGUCUUUCCAAUUGGAAAUGUUGUAAGCCUCCUGUCUGUUCAGAUCAUAUAUUUAGCAGUAUAGUCUAUCAGAUUCAGUCAAUGACUACUUCUUUCCUUUCUCGCUUCCAUAGAGCAGUCUUUCUUAAUAAAUGGAUCUGAUGGCAGAAAUCAGUAUUGCCCGAAAGUAAUGGACUGGUCAAUUAAACAACUAUACUAGGUGAAGUUAUUCUUGUAAAAGUUCUAGAUUUCACUUCUACUGGUCACUUCAGAGAUGACACCUCCGACUUCAAUACAGCACAAUUAUCU